GACGAACCGUGCAAACGUUGUUCGGAAUCACUGGGCUUAAAGGGCGCGUAGGCGGCUUGCCAAGUCAGGGGUGAAAUCUUUCGGCUCAACCGGAAAAGAGCUUUUGAUACUGGCAGGCUUGAGGGAGGUAGGGGCAUGUGGAACUUCCGGUGGAGCGGUGAAAUGCGUUGAUAUCAGAAGGAACGCCGGUGGCGAAAGCGGCGUACUGGACCUCUUCUGACGCUGAGGCGCGAAAGCUAGGG
rnacentral:rRNA from 1 species